rnacentral:rRNA from 1 species
UACGUAGGUGGCAAGCGUUGUUCGGAAUUACUGGGCGUAAAGCGCACGUAGGCGGAUUGUUAAGUCAGAGGUGAAAUCCCGGAGCUCAACUUCGGAACUGCCUUUGAUACUGGCAAUCUAGAGUCCGGAAGAGGUUAGUGGAAUUCCCAGUGUAGAGGUGAAAUUCGUAGAUAUUGGGAAGAACACCAGUGGCGAAGGCGGCUAACUGGUCCGGUACUGACGCUGAGGUGCGAAAGCGUGGGGAGCAAACAGG